GGAAAGACAGUGAGGCCUAUUGUCAGUUACCUGCCAGGAGGCUGUCUACAGGCUAACACAGAAUCCAUGAAGACAAAACUGCAUACUUCACACCUGAACUAAGAGCAUAACAGCAAAGCGUGAAGUUAGCAGUGAUUCUGAACGCAGAAGAGACCAUGCUAACACGGGAUAAAGAACAAGUUUAGAUAACACAGCAGAGACCAGCACCUUAAAUUUGAGAAAACACCUGGCAUAUUUGUGCCUGAUUGUACAGCAUCAUGGCAAGGCAGAAAUCAUC
rnacentral:lncRNA from 1 species